rnacentral:rRNA from 1 species
UGGUCAGUAGGUUGGUCGUGCCACCGGUACGUACUGGUCUCGCUGAUUCCUCCUUCCUGAAGAACCGUAAUGCCAUUAAUUUGGUAUUGCGGGGAAACAGGACUGUUACUUUGAAAAAAUUAGAGUGUUUAAAGCAAGCUAACGCUUGAAUACAUUAGCAUGGAAUAAUGAAAUAGGACGAUCGAUCCUAUUUUGUUGGUUUCUAGGAUUGACGUA